rnacentral:rRNA from 1 species
UGUAAGCGUAUAACAAAGUUGUUGCAGUUAAAACGCUCGUAGUCGGAAUUUGGCAGUUCCGGAUGUGUGCACGUCGUGUGCGCACUUCGCGGGGAUUGCUUUUGUGGUCUUGCGUAGGAUGAGGCACUUUUAUUAGUGAACGUCCUCACGCAACCACUUUUUACUGUGAGAAAAUCAGAGUGCUCAAAGCAGGCAUUUGCCGUGAAUGUAUUAGCAUGGAAUAAUAGAAUAGGACUUGGUUCUAUUUUGUUGGUUUGUUGGGACUGAGUAAUGAUUAAGAGGGACAGUUGGGGGCAUUUGUAUUUCGGUGCUAGAGGUGAAAUUCUUAGAUUACCGAAAGACAAACUGCUGCGAAAGCGUCUGCCAAGGAUGUUUUCAUUGA